AAUCUUCCGCAAUGGACGAAAGUCUGACGGAGCGAUGCCGCGUGAGUGAUGAAGGUCUUCGGAUCGUAAAACUCUGUUGUUAGGGAAGAACAAGUAUCGGAGUAAUAUGCCGGUACCUUGACGGUACCUAACCAGAAAGCCCCGGCUAACUACGUGCCAGCAGCCGCGGUAAUACGGAGGGGGCAAGCGUUGUCCGGAAUUAUUGGGCGUAAAGGGCACGCAGGCAGUUUCUUAAGUCUGAUGUGAAAGCCCACGGCUCAACCGUGGAGGGUCAUUGGAAACUGGGAAGCUUGAGUGCAGAAGAGGGGAGGGGAAUUCCAUGUGUAGCGGUGAAAUGCGUAGAGAUAUGGAGGAACACCAGUGGCGAAGGCGACUCUCUGGUCUGCAACUGACGCUGAGGCGCGAAAGCGUGGGGAGCGAACA
rnacentral:rRNA from 1 species